GGCAAGGUGGCCGAGCGGUCUAAGGCGCCAGGUUCAGGCUUCAACCUGAACUUCCGAUUCUUCUCUUCUGAAGUAAUCUUCCUGGUCUGGAAACAGGCGUGGGUUCGAAUCCCACCCUUGUCA